rnacentral:rRNA from 1 species
UGGGGAAUUUUCCGCAAUGGGCGCAAGCCUGACGGAGCAAGUCCGCGUGAGGGAGGAAGGCUCUUGGGUUGUAAACCUCUUUUAUCAGGGAAGAAGAUCUGACGGUACCUGAUGAAUCAGCAUCGGCUAACUCCGUGCCAGCAGCCGCGGUAAUACGGAGGAUGCAAGCGUUAUCCGGAUUUAUUGGGCGUAAAGCGUCCGCAGGUGGUUUUACAAGUCUGCUGUUAAAGCGCAGGGCUUAACUCUGUAACGGCGGUGGAAACUGUCAGACUAGAGUAUGGUAGGGGUAGCGGGAAUUCCCAGUGUAGCGGUGAAAUGCGUAGAUAUUGGGAAGAACACCAGCGGCGAAAGCGCGCUACUGGGCCAUUACUGACACUCAUGGACGAAAGCUAGGGGAGCGAAAGGGAUUAGAUACCCCUGUAGUC